CAUCAAUCUCUUUAUAUCUAGAAAGAAAUUUAAAGAUGUAUAAGAUAAUCUAUUCUUAGAAAAAUUAUACAAUGCAAUAUGUGGCCAUAGAACUCCCCACAUAAAUACCAAUUAGACAAGAAGCAAGUAUAACCUUCUAAACCUAAUAGUUCAAAUAAAGUAAAUACUAUAAACAAUAUAUAGAUCCUAUAAAAAAUGUAUGAACUCAAAAUCUAAAUUCAGUCCCUUCGGGGAUAGGGUAUUAACAUCAAAAAUCCACUUACCCUCUAUCUUCGCUAGCUCUUUAACAUUAUUGUCUCCCCUCCAAUUCUUAAAUUUCUUAAAAAUAACAAUAUAUGACAGUAGGGAGGAAUCCCCACCAUGUUUCUCAGUGAAAUGUGCCGAUACACUAUGUUUCAUAUACCCCCUCUGGAUAUUACCCACAUGCUCCGCAACCCUGGUUUUAAAUGCCCUGGUGGUCAUUCCAAUGUAUUGCAGACCACAUGGGCACCAGAGGAGGUAUAUGACAUUAGUGGAAUUACAGGUUAGAACCUGAUGAAUUUUAAAUAUGCGAUUAGUAGAGUGAGAGGUAAAUUCUGUCUGUUUAUGUUUGUCAAAUAUUGUUCUCUUACAGGCUAGACAGGAUUUGCAGGGAUAAAAACCCUUUUCUAAUCCAAAGAAGUUUUUCUCUUCCCCUUUAUCCCUAAUAAAACUUGUAGUUAGAUGUUGUUUUAAGUUUUUUGCCCCUCUGUAAAUAAUACGUGGCCUAUCACCAAUAAUUUCCCUCAGAUUCGGAUCUAGUUUAAGGAUACGCCAAUGUCUAUUGAUAAUAUGCUUAAUUUGUUUGGCAUCUUCACUAUAAUUCAAAAUAAUUGGUACCUGGUCUGCACCCUUCUUCUCCUCCCUAGGUAUCCUUUUCUUCAGAACCUUACUUCGGUCCAUCUUCUUGAUGGAAUUAAUACAACUGUCCAAUUCCUUGGCGUCAUAUUUCUUCUCUACAAACCUGUCCCUCAAGCGAACUGCCUGUUCUUCAAACACUUCAGCAUCACUACAGUUCCUAAACAGCCUAAGGAAC